AAAAAAAAACCUCAUGAUACAUUCUUGCCAAAUGCAACCACAACCCUUGAGGGUCUCCCUUUUAUCCUGAGUAGAGGGAAGGCAGGAGAAACACCUC